rnacentral:rRNA from 1 species
GUGGGGAAUAUUGCACAAUGGGGGAAACCCUGAUGCAGCCAUGCCGCGUGUGUGAAGAAGGCCUUUGGGUUGUAAAGCACUUUCAGUAUGGAGGAAGUGCAGUAUGUUAACAGCAUGCUGCAUUGACGUUACAUACAGAAGAAGCACCGGCUAACUCCGUGCCAGCAGCCGCGGUAAUACGGAGGGUGCGAGCGUUAAUCGGAAUAACUGGGCGUAAAGAGCUCGUAGGCGGUUUGUCAAGUCAGAUGUGAAAGCCCCGGGCUUAACCUGGGAACCGCAUUUGAAACUGACAGACUAGAGUACUGUAGAGGGAGGUAGAAUUCCAGGUGUAGCGGUGAAAUGCGUAGAUAUCUGGAGGAAUACCGGUGGCGAAGGCGGCCUCCUGGACAGAGACUGACGCUGAGGAGCGAAAGCGUGGGGAGCAAACAGG